CUUAUGAGGAACGGCUAAGGGAGCUGGGCAUGUUUAGCCUGGAGAAGAGGAGGUUAAGGGGUGAUAUGAUAGCCAUGUUCAAAUAUAUAAAAGGAUGUCACAUAGAGGAGGGAGAAAGGUUGUUUUUCUGCUGCUCCAGAGAAGCGGACACGGAGCAAUGGAUCCAAACUACAAGAAAGAAGAUUCCACCUAAACAUUAGGAAGAACUUCCUGACAGUAAGAGCUGUUCGACAGUGGAAUUUGCUGCCAAGGAGUGUGGUGGAGUCUCCUUCUUUGGAGGUCUUUAAGCAG